AUACGUACUGUGCAAACGUUAUUCGGAAUCACUGGGCUUAAAGGGUGCGUAGGCGGCCGUUUAAGUAGGGUGUGAAAUCCCUCGGCUCAACCGAGGAAUGGCGCUCUAAACUGGACGGCUUGAGUGAGAUAGGGGUGUGCGGAACUUCCGGUGGAGCGGUGAAAUGUGUUGAUAUCGGAAGGAACGCCGGUGGCGAAAGCGGCACACUGGGUCUCAACUGACGCUGAGGCACGAAAGCUAGGGUAGCGAACGGGAUUAGAAACCCCAGUAGUCC
rnacentral:rRNA from 1 species